rnacentral:sRNA from 1 species
UACCAGCUCCAAGGAGGGGGGAGUGCC